rnacentral:rRNA from 1 species
AUUGAACGCUGGCGGCAGGCUUAACACAUGCAAGUCGAACGGUAACGGGUUGAAAGCUUGCUUUCAAUGCUGACGAGUGGCGGACGGGUGAGUAAGGCUUGGGGAUCUGGCUUUUGGAGGGGGAUAACCAUUGGAAACGAUGGCUAAUACCGCAUAGUAUCGAGAGAUGAAAGGGGUGGGAAACCACUUGCCAAGGGAUGAACCCAAGUGAGAUUAGGUAGUUGGUGGGGUAACGGCCUACCAAGGCUGCGAUGCAUAGCCGACCUGAGAGGGUGAUCGGCCACACUGGGACUGAGACACGGCCCAG